rnacentral:rRNA from 1 species
UACAGAGACUGCAAGCGUUAUUCGGAUUCACUGGGCAUAAAGGGUGCGCAGGCGGCCAAGUGUGUCAGAUGUGAAAUCCCGAGGCUUAACCUCGGAACUGCGUCUGAAACUACUUGGCUAGAGUACUGGAGAGGGUAACGGAAUUCACGGUGUAGCAGUGAAAUGCGUAGAUAUCGUGAGGAACCCCAGAGGCGAAGGCGGUGCUCUGGGCCGGAACUGACGCUGAGGAGCGAAAGCGUGGGGAGCGAACAGG